UACGGGGGGGGCAAGCGUUGUUCGGAAUUACUGGGCGUAAAGGGUUCGUAGGCGGCCAACUAAGUCAGACGUGAAAUCCCCAGGCUUAACCUGGGAACUGCGUCUGAUACUGGAUGGCUUGAAUUCGGGAGAGGGAUGCAGAAUUCCAGGUGUAGCGGUGAAAUGCGUAGAUAUCUGGAGGAAUACCGGUGGCGAAGGCGGCCUUCUGGGCAGUGACUGACGCUGAGACGCGAAAGCGUGGGGAGCAAACAGG
rnacentral:rRNA from 1 species